rnacentral:misc_RNA from 1 species
CUAGGGAGGAGAGGGUUUUGCUUUUCGACGGAAUAGGCCAAGAGACCGGCGGAGCCGAGGUUGACGAUGACAGAACCAGGGUAGACGGAGCUAAAAUGGUGGGCCAGAAUUCCAUCUUUCAGAGCGUAAACGGAAUCGGACUCAGGGCUCUGCAGAGCGUCGGGACUUUUGGCCACCGAUUUGUCGAAGACGGCGAGCAUUUUGUAGAUCGUCGAUCGGAAAAUGAGAGAACUAAAAACACGGUUGGUUUCGUAUCUGAAUGCAAAUAGAGUACGGGUGAUGAAAGAUCGCUUGCGG